AACGCGAAGAACCUUACCAGGGUUUGACAUGCCCGUGAACGCGGCAGAAAUGUCGUUCCCUUCGGGGCACGGGCACAGGUGCUGCAUGGCUGUCGUCAGCUCGUGCCGUGAGGUGUUGGGUUAAGUCCCGCAACGAGCGCAACCCUCAUCGUCGGUUGGAUUUCUCCGACGAGACUGCCACGAGGAACGUGGAGGAAGGUGGGGAUGACGUCAAGUCAGCACGGCCCCUACAUCCUGGGCGACACACACGCUACAAUGGCUGGGACAACGGGAGGCCAACCCGCGAGGGGGAGCCAAUCCUGCCAAACCCAGUCUCAGUUCAGAUUGCAGGCUGCAACCCGCCUGCAUGAAGUCGGAGUUGCUAGUAACCGUGAGUCAGCACAUCACGGUAAAUCCGUUCCCGGGUCUUGUACACACCG
rnacentral:rRNA from 1 species